GGCGUGUGUGAAAGGGUAUGGAGAGAUUGUUACUUGGUUUCUUGGUUAGUUAGGACUCUUAUCUAGAUAAGAGAUAAAGCCUAACUAAUCCAACUAAUUCUUAUCCAAUUUUGGCAUGGGAAAAGGAGAAAUUUUGUGAAACAAAAAUAUAAAAAGGGUUGUGAUGAGUGAGGAUUUUUAUCCCUUAUUUUUUUUGUGCGCUACUUCUACCUUGCCACCCCCUUCCUUCUCCAUGCCACCUUUUCUUCCUUCCAUGCCUUGGUUCUUCCUUCUAGAUCAGAUCUAAAGAUAAGCCCUAGAGAGAGAGAAAGAAAAUCAAAAUGAGUUCUUAAUUUUUUUUGGUAAUUAGGAUCAAUCCCAAGGAUCUUAUAUAGGGCUGCUUCAAAUAAUAUAAGAAAAAGGAUCCUGAUCCAAGCUGAAGAACAAAUCCUACAAGAGAGCCAACCCCUCGAGUAUUUCAAAGUUCUAAUUGGGACAUCUCUAUGUAGAUAUCAGCAGAGGUUGGAUACUUGCCCAGCUUCGACAGUAACCCUAGACAUCCGUAGGAUCUGAUCCGAGGAAGGAGAAGG
rnacentral:lncRNA from 1 species